rnacentral:rRNA from 1 species
UCCGGUUGAUCCUGCCAGAGGUUACUGCUAUCGAGGUUCGACUAAGCCAUGCGAGUCGAAUGUAGCAAUACAUGGCGUACUGCUCAGUAACACGUGGACAACCUGCCCUUAGGUCGGGUAUAAACCCGGGAAACUGGGUAUAAUCCCCUAUAAGUCUCGGCUGCUGGAAUGCACCGAGAUUAAAAGCUCCGGCGCCUAAGGAUGGGUCUGCGGCCUAUCAGGUAGUAGUGGGUGUAGCGUACCUACUAGCCUACGACGGGUACGGGUUGUGAGAGCAAGAGCCCGGAGAUGGAUUCUGAGACACGAAUCCAGGCCCUACGGGGUGCAGCAGGCGCGAAAACUUUACAAUGCUGGCAACAGCGAUAAGGGAACCUCGAGUGCCAGGUUACAAAUCUGGCUGUCGAGAUGCCUAAAAAGCAUUUCAUAGCAAGGGCCGGGCAAGACCGGUGCCAGCCGCCGCGGUAACACCGGCGGCUCGAGUGGUAACCGUUAUUAUUGGGUCUAAAGGGUCUGUAGCCGGCCGGAUAAGUCUCUUGAGAAAUCUGGCAGCUUAACUGUCAGGCUUUCAGGAGAUACUGUCUGGCUCGAGGCCGGGAGAGGUGAGAGGUACUUCAGGGGUAGGGGUGAAAUCUUGUAAUCCUUGAAGGACCACCAGUGGCGAAGGCGUCUCACCAGAACGGACCUGACGGCAAGGGACGAAAGCUAGGGGCACGAACCGGAUUAGAUACCUGGGUAGUCCUAGCCGUAAACGAUACUCGCUAGGUGUCGGCCACGGUGCGACCGUUGUCGGUGCCGUAGGGAAGCCGUGAAGCGAGCCACCUGGGAAGUACGGCCGCAAGGCUGAAACUUAAAGGAAUUGGCGGG